CAAGUCGAACGCGCAGCAUUCUGUAGCAAUACAGGGUGUGGGCGCGUGGCGAACGGGUGCGUAACACGUGGAUAACCUUCCUUGAGGUGGGGAAUAACCCAGUGAAAAUUGGGCUAAUACCGCAUAACAUCGCGAUGGCACAUGCUGUUGCGAUCAAAGGCGCAAGUCGCCACAAGAGGGAUCCGCGGCCGAUUAGCUUGUUGGCGAGGUAAUGGCUCACCAAGGCAAUGAUCGGUAGCCGGACUGAGAGGUUGGCCGGCCACACUGGAACUGAGACACGGUCCAGACUCCUACGGGAGGCAGCAGUGGGGAAUCUUGCACAAUGGACGAAAGUCUGAUGCAGCAACGCCGCGUGGGGGAUGAAGCUUCUCGGAGUGUAAACCCCUUUCGACCCGGAAGAAUGCCCGCAAGGGUAUGACGGUACGGGUAUAAGAAGCCCCGGCUAACUACGUGCCAGCAGCCGCGGUAAUACGUAGGGGGCCAGCGUUGCUCGGAAUUACUGGGCGUAAAGGGUCCGUAGGCGGUGUAGCAAGUCGAUAGUGAAAUCUCUGGGCUUAACCCAGAGGCUGCUAACGAAACUGCUGUGCUAGAGUGUGAGAGAGGCGAGUGGAAUUACGGGUGUAGCGGUGAAAUGCGUAGAUAUCCGUAGGAACAUCCGAGGCGAAGGCGGCUCGCUGGAUCACAACUGACGCUGAGGGACGAAAGCUAGGGGAGCAAACAGGAUUAGAUACCAUGGUAGUCCUAGCCCUAAACCAUCAGGACUUGGGGUUUGCCCUGUACGGGGCAAGUCCCGUAGCUAACGCGUUAAGUCCUGCGCCUGGGGAGUACGGUCGCAAGGCUGAAACUCAAAGGAAUU
rnacentral:rRNA from 1 species